rnacentral:lncRNA from 1 species
GUCAACUAGAAACAAAUUUGUUAGCUCCACCCUGAGGGUGGGAAGCUGGGGCCCAAGCUUUUCUUUUCUCUUACAGCUACCUUCAUUAAUUUUUCCUCUACAGCUGAACGGACUGGCACGCAACCUGCAAUGAGGCCCUGCUCAGAAGACCUCCACCUCUGCUGGGCCUCCUGGCUCCUGGGAUUCAUCAGUCUCCUUCUCAAGCCUGUGCCCUCUCCCCAGAUUCUGGUGGGAUCAACAUCCGUCACACCAGACUGGUGCAACGUCACCCUGGAGUGCAGAGCCUCUGGGGCCACAGACGAUCUGAAUGUGACCUGGGAGAAGAAAGGCCUCCCCAAAGAAUGGGAGCAGAGAAGGACAUUAGAAGCAGCCUGCAACUCAUACAUUCUGGCUGUGAGCGUGCCGAGAGGCCAGCCCCAUGCCAUCCUCGUCUGUGUGGUCAGCAACCCGGUGGAAUAUAAAACUGCCUUCUUCGACCUUGGUGGAGUCUGCGUCCCUGGUGAGUGCAAUCUGCCAGAGGGGAGGAGCACUUUCAGAGCUCAGAUGGCACUGAGGUCUGGGGGUUCAGGGCUUUUCUUCCCACCAUUUUCUUAGCACUGCUUUCUGACCACUUCAUACAAGAGUCUAGGAAAAACAUUCAACUUACCUUUGCUUUUCAGUGUGUCUCACAUCCAUGACCUGCUCUAAACUGCUUGCCCCUGCUAGCCCAGGUAGUCAUUUUUCAGUGCUUCUCUCCACCACUAUCCAACAUCCAUUGUGCAUUCAGCAUGGUCUUCAGGAAAGUAAUCAUAAUGGGUCAUUGUGGCUUUUCUUCAAGUCUGACCUCCAUGACUUCCUGUGGGAUGUCAUGGACGGGCUCAGACGCUCCUCUGUCCACAUUUCUGACCUUAUUUAUACACUUACCACUGAAUUCCUUGUUUGUCAUUCCAGAAUGUGCCCUGCUUUUGCAAGUUUUUGCACCUCUGGACAUGUUGUUUCCUUGACCAUCAGCCCUUCUUCAUCCUGUGUCCUUGACUUCCUGUCUCAUUCUUCAUGGAGGAUUCUCCUCAGCCACUGCAGAUAUGUGGGCUGUGAAAAUGCAUUCACACAUGGCCCUGCCCUAAGAUAGGCCCCAUGAUUGGUCUAAAAAUCUGCUAAUUUGUCUAAAUUCUACUGAUGUCUUAAAAUUUUAAUAAAUUUUUAACAAGGAGUCUGCCUUUUCA